GCCAGCAGCCAUAUCACCCUGCAGUUCCCAGCUGGCUGUCCACUGGAGCUCAGCAGGAGUGAGCCUGGCCGGUACCUGGAGGGGAGACCUCCUGGGAGAAACUAAGACUGCUGCUGGAA
rnacentral:rRNA from 1 species